UGCAAUUACUGAUGCUAUCGCUUUGAAAAAAGAGGAAAGUCCGGACACCAAAGAGCAGCAUAGUGGGUAACACCCAUCUACUGUAAAGUAUGGACUAGUGCAACAGAAAGCAAGUACAGUUUGGCUGUAGUGAAAUCAGGUAAACUCUAUGNGGUGCAAUACCAAAUAUAUCAGGAAUUAAAAGUGGCUCGCUUUUUCUUGAGGGGUAGGUAGCUUGAAAUAAUAAGUAAUUAUUAUUCUAGAUAAAUGAUGGCACUAAAUUUUAGAACAGAAUCCGGCUUAUGUGUAAUUGCAAUUU
rnacentral:RNase_P_RNA from 1 species